rnacentral:tRNA from 1 species
GGGCCCGUAGCCUAGUCUGGAUAAGGCACCAGCCUUCUAAGCUGGGGAUCAGGGGUUCGAAUCCCCUCGGGCCCG